rnacentral:antisense_RNA from 1 species
AGUAACCAAAGAUACGCCCUGGAUUGAUUGUCGGGUCAGUAAUGAUUCUUACUUGUCCCCCAUCGCCAACCCAAGGGUCGAAUAAACCACCCCAAAACAUGGCUUUGAAGACAAGCAAAAAUGCACCAAUUCCUAGCAAAGUUAAAUGAAUUCCAAUGAUAGAUGUCAUCUUGUUGUCGUCUUCCCA